UAACACGGGGGGAGCAAGCGUUGUCCGGAUUUACUGGGCGUAAAGAGCGUGUAGGCGGGAUAAUAAGUCAGUGGUGAAAUCUCCCGGCUCAACCGGAAAUCUGCUAGUGAUACUGUUAUCCUAGAGUAUGGAAGAGGGAAGUGGAAUUCCUGGUGUAGCGGUGAAAUGCGUAGAUAUCAGGAAGAACACCAGUAGCGAAGGCGGCUUCCUGGUCCGUAACUGACGCUGAGACGCGAAAGCGUGGGGAGCAAACAGGAUUAGAUGCCCUGGUAGUCCACGCCGUAAACGAUGGGCACUAGGUGUUGGAGGCGUCGAUCCCUUCAGUGCCGUAGCUAACGCAUUAAGUGCCCCGCCUGGGGAGUACGGUCGCAAGGCUG
rnacentral:rRNA from 1 species